CAGAGAUGCUUUGGUGCCUUCGGGAACUCUGAGACAGGUGCUGCAUGGCUGUCGUCAGCUCGUGUUGUGAAAUGUUGGGUUAAGUCCCGCAACGAGCGCAACCCUUAUCCUUUGUUGCCAGCGGUCCGGCCGGGAACUCAAAGGAGACUGCCAGUGAUAAACUGGAGGAAGGUGGGGAUGACGUCAAGUCAUCAUGGCCCUUACGAGUAGGGCUACACACGUGCUACAAUGGCGCAUACAAAGAGAAGCGACCUCGCGAGAGCAAGCGGACCUCAUAAAGUGCGUCGUAGUCCGGAUUGGAGUCUGCAACUCGACUCCAUGAAGUCGGAAUCGCUAGUAAUCGUGGAUCAGAAUGCCACGGUGAAUACGUUCCCGGGCCUUGUACACACCGCCCGUCACACCAUGGGAGUGGGUUGCAAAAGAAGUAGGUAGCUUAACCUUCGGGAGGGCGCUUACCACUUUGUGAUUCAUGACUGGGGUGAAGUCGUAACAAGGUAGGCGUAGUGCU
rnacentral:rRNA from 1 species